rnacentral:rRNA from 1 species
UACCAGCAGUCCAAGUUGCAGCCAUAAUUAUUGGGUCUAAAACAUCCGUAGCUUGCUUAAUAAGUUUCUCGUGAAAUCUUAUAUCUCAAAUAUAAGGCGGGCGAGAAAUACUGUUAAGCUAGAGACCGGAAGAUGUGAAGAGUACUCUUGAGGUAGUGGUCAAAUACGUUAAUCUUAGGAGGACUAACAACUAGCGAAGGCACUUCACAAGCACGGAUCUGACAGUGAGGGAUGAAAGCCAGGGGCGCAAAACGGAUUAGAUACCCGUGUAGUCCUGGCAGUAAACACUGCUCACUAAACAUUGGUCUCUCUUCGGGAGAAAUCAGUGCUGAAGCGAAGGCGAAGAGUGAGCUACCUGGGAAGUAUAGUCGCAAGGUCGAAACUUAAAGGAAUUGGCGGGGAGACACUACAACGAGUGACGCGUGCGGUUCAAUUAGAUUCUACACCGUGAACCUCACCAGGAGCGACAGCAGGAUGAAGGUCAGUCUAAAGGGCUUACCUGACACGCUGAGCGGAGUCGCAAGUCCGACGUCAGCCUGUGUUGUGAGAUGACCUGUUAAAUCAGGUAACAGGCGAGAUCCACAUGUAUAAUUACUACAGAAAUGAGGACAUUAUACAGACUGCCUAUGUAAAUAGGAGGAAGGUGUGGGCUACGUCAGGUUAUUUCAGCCCUAACCCCCUGGGCUACACGCGCGCGGCAAUGGUAGAUUCAGCGAGAUGCAACUCUGAAAAGAGAAGCUAAUCCCCUAAUGUCUAUCUCAGUACAGAUUGAGGGUUGCAACCCACCCUCAUGACGAUGGAAUUCGUAGUAAUCGUUUGUUAGCAACGAACGGUGAAUAUGUCCCUGUCUCU